rnacentral:rRNA from 1 species
CCUACGGGUGGCACCAGGCGCGAAACCUCCGCAAUACACGAAAGUGUGACGGGGUUACCCAAAGUGUUCUAUUUAGAACUGUGGUAGGUGAGUAAUGUCCCCUACUAGAAAGGAGAGGGCAGGGCUGGUGCCAGCCGCCGCGGUAAAACCAGCUCUUCAAGUGGUCGGGAUAAUUAUUGGGCUUAAAGUGUCCGUAGCCGGUUUAGUAAGUUCCUGGUAAAAUCGGGUAGCUUAACUAUCUAUAUGCUAGGAAUACUGCUAUACUAGAGGGCGGGAGAGGUCUGAGGUACUACAGGGGUAGGGGUGAAAUCUUAUAAUCCUUGUAGGACCACCAGUGGCGAAGGCGUCAGACUGGAACGCGCCUGACGGUGAGGGACGAAAGUCAGGGGAGCGAACCGGAUUAGAUACCCCCGUAGUC